CUGAGCUGGCUGGUGGCGCCUGAGUCAGCUGCAGGGACAGCUUGGCCCUGGGCCCUGGCACAUCCAGUCGGCCCCCUGUGAAGGCAGAGGGGCAGGGAUCCAGGCCCCCCUACCCUUUCUCGGCCUGCUGGGCCACAUUCUACUCACCGUAGCCUGGGAAGCUGGAGGUGGGGGUGGCGGGGUGGGGAUUAGCAUUUGCAGACCCCCUCUUUGUAUCCACCUCUCCGUGCUGUCAGAGACCACUCGUGGCAGAAGGGAAGGGGACAUCGAACCUGACACUUGAAGGCUGCAGAGGCGUUGGUUAUGUGGCAUGGAGCCAGGAAGGCAUGGGAACAGGCAGGGGAAACAGCCUGAGGAAAGGUCCUGAGGGCGAGCCGUUCGAAUCCCGCAUCCCCCUCUGUGACGUGGGACCUCGAGGGCCCCUCACUGCGGAGAGGACGAGAAGUAACUGGAAACAUCUGCUGCAAUAAUAAUAAUAAGCACGGCUCAUUAUCAUGUGCAAAGCAACUUGCACACAUUAUGUCAUUCAGUCUGCACCCCAUCUCUCCUUUCCCAACGAAGAAACGGCCUCAGAGACCGUGUGUGAUUUGUCACAUGCCACGCUAGGCUUUUCUGCCCAGAGUAGGCACUGAAUUACGGGCCUGUCCUGUCCCUGGUAGAUAUAUUCGCUGUUCAUUGCAAUCAAAGCCUGGGAUUUGCUAGGGCCUCAGUCUCCCCGUUGUGCUGUUCGCACAGGGAUCUCUGGGGGUAGGAUAUGAGAUGCUUCUGCAGCAACCCAGCACUCCAGGAAUCUGGAGACCAGGUAGGAAGGAGCCCUUCCUGUGACAGGGCUGGAGUAGAAGCUGCUCCAGUGGCCAGAUCGGCUUCCUCUGAGUUCUUCUGGCCACCUCAUGAUCUGGGCUCAACUCUUGCAGAUUGUCUCUGGAAACUCCAGGAACUCCUGACCAGAAGACCCUGAGCCUCCGGGGUCUCUGGAGGUCCUGCAAUGAUAAGGUCUGGCCACCAGAUGGCGCUACACAGGCCACUGUGCUGUCAAGGAAGAGACUUGUCCUCUGUCCAGUGUCUGUCUUGAGAGUGGCCUCUCUCCUCUGAGUAUAUUCAUUCUUUCACUGCAGCCAAGGAAAUGGAGAGCACAAGGAGAAGAGACCCACCGAGGCCACUUGGCUCCCCCUUUGUGCUUCCCAGGGAUUGUUAUCUUGGUUGAGCAAGGCCACAGGACUGUGGCAGUUGCUGGGUUUCUCCAGACCUCCAUUUCCAGGUGUG